rnacentral:lncRNA from 1 species
ACUUUGUCUUCGGCCACUUCUUUGGGGACAAGGCCCUGAAGAAGAGGUCACGAAAGAAGGAGAAGCACUCCUGGAACCCCAGAGUUGUGGGGCCCAGGGAAGAGCACAGCCGCCAUCCGCACCACUACCACCAAGGCUGAGCCCUGUCCUGCUGCAACAGCCGGCCUUGGCAUGCACCCAGCUCAAGAUGCCUGGAGUUAUGUGACCCUAGCAGCUAUGCUCCCACUGUCCAGCGGGCCCCUCCUGGCUCGUUGGUGCCCUUGAAUGACCUUCACAGAAGAGAGCAACGCACUUGGCCCUGCACUGGUACCACUUUUGCUAAAAAAAAAAAAAAAAAAGAAGAAGAAGAAAAAAAAAAAGGCCAUAGUUGGCGCUGCUGAACUGUCUAAGCAGACAUAUGCAAAGAUAAAGGCCCUGGGUACUAAGUGACAUGUAGGGGCCUGCUGGGAGCCUGCUGGGGAGGACUCUUAUUCUGAAGUCAGAGAGCUGUCAUUUUUUUGUGGCUAUCCUGGGUCCACAGCAGAGCCUAUCACCCUGUGCUAGAGCUGCUGGUUAGAGACUUAGCUCCAGACUUGCCUUGGGGUUUAGCUAGCUGUGGAGACAGCUAUCCCUAAGCCUGAGGAGUCCUCACCAUGCCUCUUGCGGCUUUCACCUCCCCACCUGAGCUGUCCCACCAUGGCGGGGCUCUGUCACUUGAGGUGGUCCCUAAAUGCAAGGAACACCUUGCAGUCACCACGCUGGUGUUUAGGCACAAUCUAGGCACUGCACUCGGCCUUCCCAUCCAUUCCCCAUGUGCGCCCACCUUCCCCAAGGAGCCUAGCCUUGAGUCCAGCCACCAAUUGUCUCACAGUCCAGGUGGGGUGGCCUCAAGCCAGGUCAUUCUCCGCAGUGUGGUGUGGUGUUCUUAUCCUCAGAAAGAGAGCUGAAGGGAAUGGAGUCAGUGAAGCAAGGAAGCAGACAUUCUGUUUCUGCCACACAAGAAUCGAUCCCUUUUUUGGAGCGUGCUGUGGAGGACAGGGAACACGCUAACCUGGGUCUGCAGAGGUGAGGGAGCCACUAGGUGGCGCUCUGGCUUCACAUUUCUCUAGACUUCUCCCUCCUGCCCCUGGUCACCACCCCACACCCCAGACACCCUACCCAUUGACUAGCUCUCAAGAAUUCCCAGAAUCCCCCUGGUUAUUCUUCAGGAACGCCCCGCCCCCUCAGUUCAAACCUCUACGCCAUUGGUAGCACACUGGGCUUCUAGCUCUGGAACUCUCCCAGGGACUCUAGGGGGCAGUGACCACACAGGUCAGGUCAAUUAAGGAGGGGAUUAAGGACUGUAAGCUUACUGGGCAAUGGUGAUGCACGCCUUUAAUCCCAGCCCUUGGGAGGCAGAGGCAGGCUGAUUUCUGAGUUUGAGGCCAGCCUGAUCUACAAAGUGAGUUCCAGGAUAGCCAGGGAAACAAAACAGGACUGUAGGCUCUAGAAAGUGCUGGAAUCGAUUUUGAAUUAUUUAGCAAUGCUUUUAUGUCACUGUUAAAAGGCUUUUAAGUGCAGUGGCUUGUUUAAUUUCCGUGCUAGACAAGACAGGUAGAAAGGGUGGCUCAUUCCACAAAUGUUUAAACAGUCUGCUGUGUGGUGCUGGAGGGAUGGCUCAGCCGCUGAGGGCACAGGCUGCUCUUCCAGAAGCCCCAGGUUUGAUUCCCAGCACCCACAUGGUAGCUCACAAAUGUCUGCAACUUCAGUCUCCAGGGAUCUGAUGUUCUCUUCUGGCCCUGUAGGCACCAGGCACACACACACACGGUACACAAACAUACACGC